AGAAAAUAAGCUGAGCUAAUGCACGGCCUCUAACCGCGCAAAGGGGGGUUUAAUUCCCUUCAUUUUCUU
rnacentral:tRNA from 1 species